UACGUAGGGUGCGAGCGUUGUCCGGAAUUAUUGGGCGUAAAGCGCACGUAGGCGGACUUUUAAGUCAGGGGUGAAAUCCUGGAGCUCAACUCCAGAACUGCCUUUGAUACUGGAAGUCUUGAGUUCGAGAGAGGUGAGUGGAACUGCGAGUGUAGAGGUGAAAUUCGUAGAUAUUCGCAAGAACACCAGUGGCGAAGGCGGACUCACUGGCUCGAUACUGACGCUGAGGUGCGAAAGCGUGGGGAGCAAACAGG
rnacentral:rRNA from 1 species